rnacentral:rRNA from 1 species
AGUGAACGCUGGCGGUAGGCCUAACACAUGCAAGUCGAACGGCAGCACAGUAAGAGCUUGCUCUUACGGGUGGCGAGUGGCGGACGGGUGAGGAAUACAUCGGAAUCUACUUUUUCGUGGGGGAUAACGUAGGGAAACUUACGCUAAUACCGCAUACGACCUACGGGUGAAAGCAGGGGAUAUUCGGACCUUGCGCGAUUGAAUGAGCCGAUGUCGGAUUAGCUAGUUGGCGGGGUAAAGGCCCACCAAGGCGACGAUCCGUAGCUGGUCUGAGAGAAUGAUCAGCCGCACUGGAACUGAGACACGGUCCAGACGCCUACGAGAGGCAGCAGUGGGGAAUAUUGGACAAUGGGCGCAAGCCUGAUCCAGCCAUACCGAGUGGGUGAAGAAGGCCUUCGGGUUGUAAAGCCCUUUUGUUGGGAAAGAAAAGCAGCAGGUUAAUACCCCGCUGUUCUGACGGUACCCAAAGAAUAAGCACCGGCUAACUUCGUG